rnacentral:misc_RNA from 1 species
UCGUGACCCUGACCAAAAUAGACCGCGCACGCGUCAUCCAGCCUGCCGGCGGCGGCACCGCCCGUCGCUCGGCCAAGUCCUUGAGAACCUCCUCUCCUCGGAGUGGGGGCUCGGGGUAAAAGAACCCACGACGCCUAAGGCGUCAAGGAACACUGYGCCUAGCCCGGGGACGCGGACGGCUUGCUGGCCGCCCCCCGUGCUGCAAUGCUAUUAAAUCCACACGACUCUCGGCAACGGAUAUCUCGGCUCUCGCAUCGAUGAAGAACGUAGCGAAAUGCGAUACCUGGUGUGAAUUGCAGAAUCCCGCGAACCAUCGAGUCUUUGAACGCAAGUUGCGCCCGAGGCCACUCGGCUGAGGGCACGCCUGCCUGGGCGUCACGCAAAACACGCUCCCACCCCCUCAUCGGGUAGCGGGACGCGGCAUGUGGCCCCCCGUAGCGCAAGCUGCGGUGGGCCGAAGAUAUGGCUGCCGGCGUAUCGUGCCGGAAACAGCGCGUGGUGGGCGACCUCGCUUUACUUACCGCAGUGCAUCCGGUGCGUAGCCGACGUGAUGGCCUCUAAGGACCCUUUGAACGGUGCGCACGACGCUCCGACC